ensembl:snRNA U2 U2 spliceosomal RNA
AUCGCUUCUCGGCCUUUUGGCUAAGAUCAAGUGUAGUAUCGGUUCUUAUCAGUUUAAAAUCUCUAUUCAACCUUUUUAAACCCUUGAUGGCUAAGUGGAGAAGAGACCCAAAACUGGUUUGAACACUUUCUUGCAAGUCAUCAUGAUGCUCUCAUACCUCACUUUGAAAUACAAGUUAUAUCAUGGUCUUGAAGCCCU